rnacentral:rRNA from 1 species
UACGAAGGGGGCUAGCGUUGCUCGGAAUCACUGGGCGUAAAGGGUGCGUAGGCGGGUCUUUAAGUCAGGGGUGAAAUCCUGGAGCUCAACUCCAGAACUGCCUUUGAUACUGAGGAUCUUGAGUUCGGGAGAGGUGAGUGGAACUGCGAGUGUAGAGGUGAAAUUCGUAGAUAUUCGCAAGAACGCCAGUGGCGAAGGCGGCUCACUGGCCCGAUACUGACGCUGAGGCACGAAAAGCGUGGGGAGCAAACAGG